GACGAACGCUGGCGGCGCGCCUAACACAUGCAAGUCGAACGGAGCUUAGAGAGCUUGCUUUUAAGCUUAGUGGCGAACGGGUGAGUAACGCGUGAGUAACCUGCCCUAGAGUGGGGGACAACAGUUGGAAACGACUGCUAAUACCGCAUAAGCCCACGGUACCGCAUGGCACUGAGGGAAAAGGAUUUAUUCGCUUUAGGAUGGACUCGCGUCCAAUUAGCUAGUUGGUGAGGUAACGGCCCACCAAGGCGACGAUUGGUAGCCGGACUGAGAGGUUGAACGGCCACAUUGGGACUGAGACACGGCCCAGACUCCUACGGGAGGCAGCAGUGGGGAAUUUUGGACAAUGGGGGCAACCCUGAUCCAGCCAUGCCGCGUGAGUGAAGAAGGCCUUCGGGUUGUAAAGCUCUUUCAGCCGGGAAGAAAGCGCACUCUCUAACAUAGGGUGUGGAUGACGGUACCGGAAGAAGAAGCACCGGCUAACUACGUG
rnacentral:rRNA from 1 species